rnacentral:rRNA from 1 species
UACGGGGGGUGCGAGCGUUGUCCGGAAUCACUGGGCGUAAAGGGCGCGUAGGCGGCGUGACAAGUCACUUGUGAAAUCUCCGGGCUUAACUCGGAACGGUCAAGUGAUACUGUCGUGCUAGAGUACAGAAGGGGCAACUGGAAUUCUCGGUGUAGCGGUGAAAUGCGUAGAUAUCGAGAGGAACACCUGCGGCGAAGGCGGGUUGCUGGGCUGAUACUGACGCUGAGGCGCGAAAGCCAGGGGAGCGAACGGG